rnacentral:rRNA from 1 species
UACGUAGGGUGCGAGCGUUGUCCGGAAUUAUUGGGCGUAAAGGGCUCGUAGGCGGUUUGUCGCGUCGGGAGUGAAACCCAGGGCUUAACCCUGGGCUGGCUUCCGAUCACGGGCAGACUAGAGGUAUGCAGGGGAGAACGGAAUUCCGUGGUGUAGGCGGUGAAAUGCGCAGAUAUCAGGAGGAACACCGGUGGCGAAGGCGGUUCUCCUGGGACGGUACUGACGCUGAGACGCGAAAGCGUGGGAGCGAACAGGAUAGAUACC